rnacentral:lncRNA from 1 species
CAAGAGCGAUCUCGGCUCACUGCAACCUCCGCCUCCUGGGUUCAAGCGAUUCUCCUGCCUCAGCCUCCUGAGUAGCUGGGAUUACAGGCGCCCGGCCACUACACCCGGCUAAUUUUUGUAUUUUUAGUAGAGAGGGGGUUUCACUGUGUUAGUCAGGCUGGUAUCGAACUCCUGCCAAGCAUUCUCAUGAUCGGUGUGGUGGUGAGUUAGAAAGACUAAAGCACUUUAGCUGAAGUCACUUCGUGUUUUUGCAAGCUGAGGGAAAGCCAUGAUUCAACCAGCUUUGACUUGUUCCUCACACAGAUGAUAAGCAUUCAACAAGGAGUCAGAAAUUUGGCAACUUGAACUUUCUGGAAAAGUCUUCAAAGUUGGAAGUCUCAAGAAGAAAACUCCUACACACAAAAGAAGUCUUAAGCCAGGUUACCUUGUUUUCAAGCCCACACUGCGUUAGAAGGAGUGAACAUGAAUAGUGUUGAGGGUAGAUCCAGAUGCAACAGCUUUCUGACAGAGUGCGGUUCAGAAAACUCAGAAGUAGCUAGGGUUCUGUGAACAUGGACGCCAGGCUGGAGCUCCUGCUGCAAUGGGGGCCCCCAGAAUUGGUUGGGAACCCUGCCAUGCUGAAGGAGGGGCCACAGGUAGCUCGUCUGUGCAUAUGGGUAAGGCCUGCAGAAGUACACACUGUUUCUGGACAGGUGCAGGCACUUAGAAGGGCAAGCUUCAUUCAUCCGGUGCUCAUUUAGCUGUUUCUUCAUUGUUCGGUGGGUGUUUAUUUUGUCAGGAAAAGUAAAAAAAUGAUGUUGCUUCCAAAGUCCCACAUGAAUCUAUUUUUCUUUUUAUGUUGCAGUUUUUGCAAUACACAUACUUUGAAGAAAUUGCUGGAGAUAGAUCCUUUAGAUGACUUCUUGUCUAAAGACAAUGACAUUAGAAACACAGCUGUCUUACCAAAAAAGACCUACACACUCCCGUCCUGUAAACAAGGCUCUGUGUGCCUGGCACAGGCAUGGCUGCUCUUAUUUUUAACUGCUUUUGUGUGAGAAUACAAAGAGAAAUAUUACGUAAAGAGCAGGAUGUUUUGGACAUCCACUGCUACUGCAUUACCUAAUCCCAUGACUGCAGAUUUCAAGAGAUUCAUCUGCAGGUGUUGAGAGCCUCAGAAAUGUGUACCACAGGCAUUGGUAUAUAAGAGCAAAGUUGAAAACUCCACAAGUGAUAUUGGAGAUGUCAGAGGUAAUUGUGUGUCUUCUUGGACUGGAAUGAUGA